UUAUUAUGAUUGGUCGAUAGGUGAAACACUAAAAAAUGAAAAUCAUAAGUGAUUUAUGAGAAUAUGAAGGAAAAAAGAAAUCUUCAUGAACGUUUUCUAAAUUAAAAAUUUGAGGAACGCAAAUUAAGUUUUGGUUUUUUCAAAAUACAACUCACCGAGUGCAAAUUGGCAGGAUGGAAUUUGCCUUCUCAAAUCAAUCAUAUCCAUGUAAAUAAUGAAAUUACACCACUAUUGUAUAAUUUACCUCACAUGAUUAUAUUUAAAUUAAAAAGUGUAAAAAUUGGAAAAAGCAAGCCGGUAUAAUUAAUCUGGCCAUGGAUUUUUUACUCCUAUUUUUUACAGGAGUAUGAUUCAUCAUCAUUAAAAUAUUUAUAAAAUAAACCCCAUGUUUUUAUUUUUUAAAGAAUUGAUAAUUAAACAUUUGUCCUCUGUUUUUUUUUUGUUUUACACAUUCUUCUUGUUUUUUUUAAUCUAAGUUUCAAAGAGGAAAGUCCAAAGCUCUGCUAGGGCUUUUGCCCUUCUGCUUCCCAUCAACGUCGCUCGUUCCUUGGUCUUCCCCUUCCACGAUAGCUCGCUCUCUGAUCUUCUCCUUGCGUCGUGGUCAUUUUCUAAUCCUUUCCAUUCGCGGGAUUGCUCGUUCUCCUCUGUGUCGUGCUUGUUCUCUGAUCGUCGACACCGCAACACGCUGCCGCCGCCGCCGCUACACUCGGGUCCACCACUUCAUUGUUUUCUGUCGCCUCUCUGUUCCUCUUCUUCACCAGCGACACUGAUCUCUAUCCUUCUCCCUCCACCUUUGCCUCUGCCACUUACUCCUUUAAGUUAUGUUGCACCGGAGUAUGCAUGCACUGGAAUGCUGACUGAGAAGAGUGAUGUUUAUAGCUUUGGGAUACUUAUUAUGGAAAUAAUUACCGUAAGAAGUCCUGCUGAUUAUAGUAAACCCCAAGGAGAGGUUAAUUUAAUUGAGUGGUUGAAAGCUAUGGUUGACAAUAGAAAAUCAGAGGAACUCAUUGAUCUGAACCUUCUUGAAAAUCCAUCUUCAAAGGCUCUUAAGCUUUGCUCUGUUGGUUGCUCUUAAAUGUAUUGAUCCAGAUGCCAUAAAGUGACCUAAAAUCGGACACAUAAUCCACAUGCUUGAGGCCGACGAGAUCCUAUUCGGUGAUAGGACUGGAGGGGAAUCAUUGCGAUCCCAUGACAAUUAACAUCAUGAACAAAAAGACUCUAGCAGAGAUAGAAAGCGAAUAGAUGAAGAGAUCACUGAUCAAAGUGAAGAUGAUAAUAGCAGUAAAAAUCUUGUCCAUCCCACAAGGUUGAGAUGAUAGUUGUUAAAUGGUAAAUGUAGCUAUGUAUUUAUUAUUUUUGGUUUUAGUAGUUUGCCUAUAUUAAUUUCUAUCUUAAUCUGGACAACAUGCAAUGAGUGUAUUUUUGCUGCAUAAUUUUCCCUCCCACCACAAUUUGGGAUUCAUUGUAUACUCGUUCAUUAUUACUAAAAAAUAAAAUUUUAA